GACGAACGCUGGCGGCGUGCCUAAUACAUGCAAGUCGAACGCAGUGGGGACGGGUGAGUAACACGUGGGUAACCUCCCAUCAGAGGGGAUAACACUUGGAAAAAGGUGCUAAAACCGAUAAGGAUGGAUGGACCCGGGGGGCAUUAGCUAGUUGGUGAGGUAAAGGCUCACCAAGGCCACGAUGCAUAGCCGGCCUGAGAGGUUGACCGGCCACACUGGGACGGAGACACGGUCCAGACUCCUACGGGAGGCAGCAGUAGGGAAUAUUCGGCAAUGGACGAAAGUCUGACCGAGCAAUGCCGCGUGUGUGAAGAAGGUUUUCGGAUCGUAAAACUCUUUUGUUAGGGAAGCGUUACCUAACCAGAAAGCCACGGCUAACUCCGUGCCAGCAGCCGCGGUAAUUC
rnacentral:rRNA from 1 species